CUCUGUGUGGGCGAGAGGAGAGAGAAGGGCUGGUUUCAUUACCCAGGGAUGGAGGAUAAUCCCAUUAUUCCAGCCCCUUUAAUUCCAUCUCAGCUUUAGGGACACGCCGGAACCAGCUUAAAGCACCGAACAGUAAGGAGCACUUCAAAAAAUAAAUAAAUCACAGACUCAUAGGGGUUGGAAGGGACCUUCAGAACUCAUCAAAUUCAACCCCCUGCCAAAUUAAAAUAAAAUCAAACCCCCUGAUUAUUAUCUUUUUUUAAUAGAUGGGAAGAGAGAUGCUUUCACACACUAUUUUCACUGAAGAUUUCAAUUUUUACUAACAACCUACACCCCCACCCUCUGCUAUUUCAGAAAACACGUGGCCAGAGGUUCCCAGGCAGAAAAAUCAGGGAGUAAUUCACACACAACAACAUACGCAGUUUAAGAACAAACCAAGACUUUUGCCAUCCACCUGCCAAGUCACUAAAUUAAACUCCCAUUUUUCCCCCCAACGCCGGGGAAUUCACUCCACGCUCGGCUCUGCCCGGAGCAGAGCUCCCAGCGACUCCACCGGAGCAGAACUGGUUUUAAUGGGCUUCAGGAGGAUUAUCCCCAUCCUGCUGAGAUGCCAGAAGCAGCACAAAGCCUGAAUGAUAUCGUAACUCUAAGAAAAAAAAACCUAAAAUGUAAAAUAAGGCUUUUUUUUUUGUUUUCUCUCUCUCUCAAGCAGGGAGAAGGAAGCCCCGAGCACCUUGGGCUGGGUUUGUGCUGUGCAAUGGUGACAUCCAGUGUCGGCCGCGUGGCUCUGAACCCAGCGCCUCCGUCUCGAAAGCCACCGGUUUCCAGCUCCAUCCCGGCUGCUCCUUGGCACAUUGGAAGGAUCCAGAGCCAAUUAAGGUCAGGAAGCACCAGCAGAUGCCCCAUCCCUGGCCAUCGUGGAGCUGGCCCGUUUGGGACAUGGGAGAGAGGAGGAAAAUCACGUCGCACAAGAGUGAGCUACUUUUCCUACCACAGCUUCUAAAGAGAGGAGCUGGUUAACCAGACACAACCCUCCAGGACUUUGACCUCAAGCCAAAAAGAAUCCCUCCCUCCAAAUGUCAUCUCCAAAUUCCACAGUUUAUCCAGGCAGAAAUCCCGGGCGCCUCCAGCCGUGGCUUUUCACAGGUCCAGAGGAUGGUUCCCACCAACACUACAAGGGUUAAACAAAGUUUGUUCUGUCUGAGGCUGCUGGUUUCCAUCCAGCAGCUCCUGAGUCACCCAGCACAAAGCAGCCCUGGGAUCAUUCUCCUUCCAGCCUCUGCUAAUCCAGGCUGAAACCUCCGCUCGCCCCCAGGGAAUAAGUCCUGGAAGGGAAAUAUUUGCCAGCCCUGAAGCAUUGGAACCAGGAGAAGCCAGUGACAACAAGCCCAGCUCUUUAAGUUGACCUGCUGGCCUUGGGCUGGGUUGGAGAAAUCCUUGGGAGGGUCUUGCUUCCCCAGCUGGGCAACCACCAGGAGUGGGGCAGCAGCCCAACGGACUGCACAGCUGGAUGUGCCCAUGGGGAUGCACAGCUGGACCUCAUGGACCUCAGUCCUCUAGGCAACCACCAGCGGCAGGGGAGCCACCCAAUGGGCUGCCCAGCUGGACCUCAUGGACCUAAGUACUUCUCUGGGCAACCACCAACAGCGGGGCAGAAGCCCAAUGGGCUGCACAGCUGGAUGUGCCCGUAGGGAUGCCCAGCUGGACCUCAUGGACCUCAGUACUUCUCUGGGCAACCACCAGCAGCGAGGCAGAAGCCCAACGGUCUGCACAGCUGGAUGUUCUAGGUAGACCCACUCCGAUGGGGGGGUUGGACUUGAUGAUCUCCAGAGGUCCCAUCCAACCCCAUAUUAUUCUAUGAUUCUAUGUGCCCAUAGGGAUGCCCAACUGGACCUCAUGGACCUCAGUACUCCUCUGGGCAACCACCAGCGGCAGGGGAGCAGCCCAAUGGGCUCCCCAGUUGGACCUCAUGGACCUCAGUACUUCUCCGGGCCACCACCAGCAGCGAGGCAGAAGCCCAAUGGACUGCACAGCUGGAUGUGCCCAUAGGGCGGCACAGCUGGACCUCAUGGACCUCAGUACUCCUCUGGGCAACCACCAGCCACAGGGGAGCAGCCCAAUGGGCUCCCCAGUUGGACCUCAUGGACCUCAGUACUUCUCCGGGCCACCACCAGCAGCGGGGCAGAAGCCCAACAGACUGCACAGCUGGAUGUGCCCGUAGGGAUGCCCAGCUGGACCUCAUGGACCUCAGUACUCCUUUGGGCCACCACCAGCAGUGGGGCAGAAGCCCAAUGGACUGCACAGCUGGAUGUGCCCAUAGGGCGGCACAGCUGGACCUCAUGGACCUCAGUACUCCUCUGGGCACCUCCGAUCCCAGAGCAAGAACCAUCACCCUUGAGCUCAGCACCCUCACCCUGCCUCCCCAGCCCACGGGGAGGGUGCUCAGGGGGUUGGCACCCCCAAAAACACCCUCCGGAGAGAGCAGCCAACGGGAGAAGCUCUGCACCACGCAAACCCUCCCUUUGUUCAUCCAUUAUUCCCCCCCCUUUCCUUGCCAGAAGGCACCAUUUCAGAAGCUCAAAGUCCACCCAGAAAUCCUGCUGCCACCUCUUGGUGACCUGUCAAACACCUGGUGGUUUUUUUUUGCCAGGCAGGUAAAUAAAUCCCAGCUCUGUUUCCA